AUUGUUUAUAUAACAUUGGUUACCUCGUCUUGGAAGAAAGCGAUGAUGCCGAAGCCAUAUAUACCCUACCAGGACUUAAAGGAGAUGCAGAAAAGGCAGAAAUAAAAGAAAUGAGAGAAGAAGACUGAUGUAAAUGGUUGAAGGAAAUGGACGAGAAAAAUAAAGAUUCCUGCUGAUGUUUACAAGUCUCCAGUCCUAGAUCUUCCUUUUCGGACUCCUGUCUUUGCCUGCUUCUCCAUUCCAGGUGAUCCAUUUGUCACUCCCUAAGCUGUGGAAACAUUUUUACAUCAUUUC